rnacentral:rRNA from 1 species
UAGGGAAUCUUCCGCAAUGGACGCAAGUCUGACGGAGCAACGCCGCGUGAGUGAAGAAGGAUUUCGGUUCGUAAAACUCUGUUGUUAGAGAAGAACAGCGCAUAGAGUAACUGUUAUGCGUGUGACGGUAUCUAACCAGAAAGCCACGGCUAACUACGUGCCAGCAGCCGCGGUAAUACGUAGGUGGCAAGCGUUGUCCGGAUUUAUUGGGCGUAAAGCGAGCGCAGGCGGUCAAUUAAGUCUGAUGUGAAAGCCCCCGGCUCAACCGGGGAGGGUCAGUGGAAACUGAUUGACUUGAGUGCAGAAGAGGAGAGUGGAAUUCCGUGUGUAGCGGUGAAAUGCGUAGAUAUAUGGAGGAACACCAGUGGCGAAGGCGACUCUCUGGUCUGUAACUGACGCUGAGGUUCGAAAGCGUGGGUAGCAAACAGG